rnacentral:rRNA from 1 species
UACAGAGGGUGCAAGCGUUGUUCGGAAUUACUGGGCGUAAAGGGCUCGUAGGCGGCCAACUAAGUCGGACGUGAAAUCCCUCGGCUUAACCGGGGAACUGCGUCCGAUACUGGAUGGCUCGAGUGUGGGAGAGGGAUGCGGAAUUCCAGGUGUAGCGGUGAAAUGCGUAGAUAUCUGGAGGAACACCGGUGGCGAAGGCGGCAUCCUGGACCACGACUGACGCUGAUGAGCGAAAGCCAGGGGAGCAAACGGG